rnacentral:rRNA from 1 species
CCUGGUUGAUCCUGCCAGUAGUCAUAUGCUUGUCUCAAAGAUUAAGCCAUGCAUGUGUAAGUACAGGCCGACUUAAGGCGAAACCGCGGACGGCUCAUUAAAUCAGAUAUAACUCAUUGGAUCUCUGCUGAACCGCAUUACUUGGAUAACUGUGGUAAUUCUAGAGCUAAUACAUGCCUUUGUAGUCUCCGACCGCGAGGGAGGAGCGCUUUUAUUAGACCAAAACCCUCGGCAGCCGGUUCCCGCAAGGGGCCGGCCGCACACAUCUUGGUGAAUCAGAAUAACUUUUGCCGAGCGCACGACCCCUCCCGUAACCCGGGUUGGGUCGGCGCCGCGUCCUGCAGGCGUCUGCCUUAUCAGCUCUCGAUUGUAGGUUAAACGCCUACAAUGGCUAUCACGGGUAACGGGGAAUCAGGGUUCGAUUCCGGAGAGGGAGCCUGAGAAACGGCUACCACAUCUAAGGAAGGCAGCAGGCGCGCAAAUUACCCACUCCCGGCACGGGGAGGUAGUGACGAAAAAUACUGUUGCGAGCCCCGAACGGGGCCUCGCAAUUGGAAUGAGUACACUUUAAAUCCUUGUACGAGGAUCGAGUGGAGGGCAAGUCUGGUGCCAGCCGCCGCGGUAAUUCCAGCUCCACUAGCGUAUAUUAAAGUUGUUGCGGUUGAAACGCUCGUAGUUUGACUUCUGCUCCGGACCGGCGGUCCGCCUUAGCGGCGGCUACUGCCGGGUUCCGAGCUGUGUCCCCGCCGGCGCACAUGGGGUUUUUAUGCCCUUAACCGGGUGUCCCCUUGUGGCCGGCACGUUUACUUUGAAAAAAUUAGAGUGCUCAGAGCAGGCUGGUUUUUGCUUACAGCCCGAAUGGUCGUGCAUGGAAUGAUGGAACAGGACCUCGGUUCUAUUUUGUCGGUUUUUCGGAACCCGAGGUAAUGAUUAAUAGAAGCAGACGGGGGCAUUCGUACUGCGACGCUAGAGGUGAAAUUCUUAGACCGUCGCAUGACGACCUACUGCGAAAGCAUCUGCCAAGGAUGUUUUCAUUGAUCAAGAACGAAAGUUAGAGGUUCGAAGGCGAUCAGAUACCGCCCUAGUUCUAACCUUAAACGAUGCUGACUAGCGAUCCGCCGCAGUUAUUCCCAUGACCCGGCGGGUAGCUUCCGGGAAACCAAAGUCUUUGAGUUCCGGGGAAGUAUGGUUGCAAAGCUGAAACUUAAAGGAAUUGACGGAAGGGCACCACCAGGAGUGGAGCCUGCGGCUCGGACUGCGCCACCGACUUCAUCUGCCAUAGCAUCGGCUACUUCCCCAUGUGCGUCCACUCCUGCGACCCGCGCUACUACUUCUGCGGCAGCAGCGAUAUCGGCCACACCGUCGACCCUCUCCGGUGCCCCUCAGGCAUGGUGCUCAACCCGGAGACCAUGCGCUGCGUCACCCCCAACAACUGCCCGUUCCUGGCGCGCCUGUGAGCGAAGGGCCUCGUCCGGGGGGGGGGGGCAUGUUAGCGCCCUACGGAGGGAGGGGGGGGCUCGAAGCAGGCGGGAGAAUCCGUCGUGUGCAGAAGGAGAGGCAACCAACAUUUGUACGUCUUUUGCGAUGAUUACGAAUAAAUCAGUAUACUUACACUUUCACGCCGCAGACCACGACAAAAAGGAGCAGCCAGACAGAGGGAGAUGACAAAGAACAAGAACCAAGAACCUGGAAGAUCCUUCAGGCUUCCAAAAUACACAAGAUAACAGAACAGGAAAAUCAAAAGAACAAACAUCU